rnacentral:rRNA from 1 species
GAACGGGUGAGUAACACGUGGGUGAUCUGCCCUGCACUUUGGGAUAAGCCUGGGAAACUGGGUCUAAUACCGAAUAGGACCACGCGCUUCAUGGUGCGUGGUGGAAAGCUUUUGCGGUGUGGGAUGGGCCCGCGGCCUAUCAGCUUGUUGGUGGGGUAAUGGCCUACCAAGGCGACGACGGGUAGCCGGCCUGAGAGGGUGACCGGCCACACUGGGACUGAGAUACGGCCCAGACUCCUACGGGAGGCAGCAGUGGGGAAUAUUGCACAAUGGGCGCAAGCCUGAUGCAGCGACGCCGCGUGAGGGAUGACGGCCUUCGGGUUGUAAACCUCUUUCAAUAGGGACGAAGCGCAAGUGACGGUACCUAUAGAAGAAGCACCGGCCAACUACGUGCCAGCAGCCGCGGUAAUACGUAGGGUGCGAGCGUUGUCCGGAAUUACUGGGCGUAAAGAGCUCGUAGGUGGUUUGUCGCGUUGUUCGUGAAAACUCACAGCUUAACUGUGGGCGUGCGGGCGAUACGGGCAGACUAGAGUACUGCAGGGGAGACUGGAAUUCCUGGUGUAGCGGUGGAAUGCGCAGAUAUCAGGAGGAACACCGGUGGCGAAGGCGGGUCUCUGGGCAGUAACUGACGCUGAGGAGCGAAAGCGUGGGGAGCGAACAGGAUUAGAUACCCUGGUAGUCCACGCCGUAAACGGUGGGUACUAGGUGUGGGUUCCUUCCUUGGGAUCCGUGCCGUAGCUAACGCAUUAAGUACCCCGCCUGGGGAGUACGGCCGCAAGGCUAAAACUCAAAGGAAUUGACGGGGGCCCGCACAAGCGGCGGAGCAUGUGGAUUAAUUCGAUGCAACGCGAAGAACCUUACCUGGGUUUGA